GGUUAAGCGACUAAGCGUACACGGUGGAUGCCCUGGCAGUCAGAGGCGAUGAAGGACGUGCUAAUCUGCGAUAAGCGUCGGUAAGGUGAUAUGAACCGUUAUAACCGGCGAUUUCCGAAUGGGGAAACCCAGUGUGAUUCGUCACACUAUCAUUAACUGAAUCCAUAGGUUAAUGAGGCGAACCGGGGUACUUAGAUGUUUCAGUUCCCCGAGGAAAAGAAAUCAACCGAGAUUCCCCCAGUAGCGGCGAGCGAACGGGGAGCAGCCCAGAGCCUGAAUCAGUGUGUGUGUUAGUGGAAGCGUCUGGAAAGGCGCGCGAUACAGGGUGACAGCCCCGUACACAAAAAUGCACAUGCUGUGAGCUCGAUGAGUAGGGCGGGACACGUGGUAUCCUGUCUGAAUAUGGGGGGACCAUCCUCCAAGGCUAAAUACUCCUGACUGACCGAUAGUGAACCAGUACCGUGAGGGAAAGGCGAAAAGAACCCCGGCGAGGGGAGUGAAAAAGAACCUGAAACCGUGUACGUACAAGCAGUGGGAGCACGCUUAGGCGUGUGACUGCGUACCUUUUGUAUAAUGGGUCAGCGACUUAUAUUCUGUAGCAAGGUUAACCGAAUAGGGGAGCCGAAGGGAAACCGAGUCUUAACUGGGCGUUAAGUUGCAGGGUAUAGACCCGAAACCCGGUGAUCUAGCCAUGGGCAGGUUGAAGGUUGGGUAACACUAACUGGAGGACCGAACCGACUAAUGUUGAAAAAUUAGCGGAUGACUUGUGGCUGGGGGUGAAAGGCCAAUCAAACCGGGAGAUAGCUGGUUCUCCCCGAAAGCUAUUUAGGUAGCGCCUCGUGAAUUCAUCUCCGGGGGUAGAGCACUGUUUCGGCAAGGGGGUCAUCCCGACUUACCAACCCGAUGCAAACUGCGAAUACCGGAGAAUGUUAUCACGGGAGACACACGGCGGGUGCUAACGUCCGUCGUGAAGAGGGAAACAACCCAGACCGCCAGCUAAGGUCCCAAAGUCAUGGUUAAGUGGGAAACGAUGUGGGAAGGCCCAGACAGCCAGGAUGUUGGCUUAGAAGCAGCCAUCAUUUAAAGAAAGCGUAAUAGCUCACUGGUCGAGUCGGCCUGCGCGGAAGAUGUAACGGGGCUAAACCAUGCACCGAAGCUGCGGCAGCGACACUAUGUGUUGUUGGGUAGGGGAGCGUUCUGUAAGCCUGUGAAGGUGUACUGUGAGGUAUGCUGGAGGUAUCAGAAGUGCGAAUGCUGACAUAAGUAACGAUAAAGCGGGUGAAAAGCCCGCUCGCCGGAAGACCAAGGGUUCCUGUCCAACGUUAAUCGGGGCAGGGUGAGUCGACCCCUAAGGCGAGGCCGAAAGGCGUAGUCGAUGGGAAACAGGUUAAUAUUCCUGUACUUGGUGUUACUGCGAAGGGGGGACGGAGAAGGCUAUGUUGGCCGGGCGACGGUUGUCCCGGUUUAAGCGUGUAGGCUGGUUUUCCAGGCAAAUCCGGAAAAUCAAGGCUGAGGCGUGAUGACGAGGCACUACGGUGCUGAAGCAACAAAUGCCCUGCUUCCAGGAAAAGCCUCUAAGCAUCAGGUAACAUCAAAUCGUACCCCAAACCGACACAGGUGGUCAGGUAGAGAAUACCAAGGCGCUUGAGAGAACUCGGGUGAAGGAACUAGGCAAAAUGGUGCCGUAACUUCGGGAGAAGGCACGCUGAUAUGUAGGUGAAGUCCCUCGCGGAUGGAGCUGAAAUCAGUCGAAGAUACCAGCUGGCUGCAACUGUUUAUUAAAAACACAGCACUGUGCAAACACGAAAGUGGACGUAUACGGUGUGACGCCUGCCCGGUGCCGGAAGGUUAAUUGAUGGGGUUAGCGCAAGCGAAGCUCUUGAUCGAAGCCCCGGUAAACGGCGGCCGUAACUAUAACGGUCCUAAGGUAGCGAAAUUCCUUGUCGGGUAAGUUCCGACCUGCACGAAUGGCGUAAUGAUGGCCAGGCUGUCUCCACCCGAGACUCAGUGAAAUUGAACUCGCUGUGAAGAUGCAGUGUACCCGCGGCAAGACGGAAAGACCCCGUGAACCUUUACUAUAGCUUGACACUGAACAUUGAGCCUUGAUGUGUAGGAUAGGUGGGAGGCUUUGAAGUGUGGACGCCAGUCUGCAUGGAGCCGACCUUGAAAUACCACCCUUUAAUGUUUGAUGUUCUAACGUUGACCCGUGAUCCGGGUUGCGGACAGUGUCUGGUGGGUAGUUUGACUGGGGCGGUCUCCUCCUAAAGAGUAACGGAGGAGCACGAAGGUUGGCUAAUCCUGGUCGGACAUCAGGAGGUUAGUGCAAUGGCAUAAGCCAGCUUGACUGCGAGCGUGACGGCGCGAGCAGGUGCGAAAGCAGGUCAUAGUGAUCCGGUGGUUCUGAAUGGAAGGGCCAUCGCUCAACGGAUAAAAGGUACUCCGGGGAUAACAGGCUGAUACCGCCCAAGAGUUCAUAUCGACGGCGGUGUUUGGCACCUCGAUGUCGGCUCAUCACAUCCUGGGGCUGAAGUAGGUCCCAAGGGUAUGGCUGUUCGCCAUUUAAAGUGGUACGCGAGCUGGGUUUAGAACGUCGUGAGACAGUUCGGUCCCUAUCUGCCGUGGGCGCUGGAGAACUGAGGGGGGCUGCUCCUAGUACGAGAGGACCGGAGUGGACGCAUCACUGGUGUUCGGGUUGUCAUGCCAAUGGCACUGCCCGGUAGCUAAAUGCGGAAGAGAUAAGUGCUGAAAGCAUCUAAGCACGAAACUUGCCCCGAGAUGAGUUCUCCCUGACUCCUUGAGAGUCCUGAAGGAACGUUGAAGACGACGACGUUGAUAGGCCGGGUGUGUAAGCGCAGCGAUGCGUUGAGCUAACCGGUACUAAUGAACCGUGAGGCUUAACCUU
rnacentral:rRNA from 1 species